AUGGAAAGCUGUUGGGAAGAUUUCUUAUAUUUAAGGUGUUAAAAUUACUUUUCUGUCUUAUUUAGCAAGCCUGCAUAGACUGAAUAGGAGCCAAAGCAGCAGCCUGCCGAAGCUGCCUCUCUUCCCAGACUAC
rnacentral:lncRNA from 1 species